rfam:Toxocara canis scaffold139, whole genome shotgun sequence.
GGGGCAGUAGCAUAGUGGUAGAGCUCCCGCUUCAUACGCGGGAAGACCUGGGUUCGAUUCCUGCCUGCUUUC